rnacentral:miRNA from 1 species
UGGGAGCUCACAAUCUCAUGGGAGAGACAUGUUGCAAACAACAUUAGAAAGUGAUCACCUUAAG